AUUGAACGCUGGCGGCAGGCCUAACACAUGCAAGUCGAGCGAGCGGCGGACGGGUGAGUAAUGUCUGGGAAACUGCCUGAUGGAGGGGGAUAACUACUGGAAACGGUAGCUAAUACCGCAUACCAUCAGAUGUGCCCAGAUGGGAUUAGCUAGUGGGGGGGGUAACGGCUCACCUAGGCGACGAUCCCUAGCCGGUCUGAGAGGAUGACCAGCCACACUGGGACUGAGACACGGUCCAGACUCCUACGGGAGGCAGCAGUAGGGAAUCUUGCGCAAUGGGCGCAAGCCUGAUGCAGCCAUGCCGCGUGUAUGAAGAAGGCCUUCGGGUUGUAAAGUACUGUCAGCGGGGAAGCGUUACCCAAAGAGGAAGCAACGGCUAACUCCGUGCCAGCAGCCGCGGUAAUUC
rnacentral:rRNA from 1 species